rnacentral:rRNA from 1 species
UGAAUACGAGACGCUAAGGCGUUGAAGUAGUGUAUAUCAUACUUCCAAGAAAAGCUUGCACUGUCAUAGAUAAAAAACGCCUGUACCAUAACCGACACAGGUGGGUAGGUAGAGUAUACUAAGGGGCGCGAGAUAACUCUCUCUAAGGAACUCGGCAAAAUAACUCCGUAACUUCGGGAGAAGGAGUGCCUUAUUUAUAAGGUUGCAAUAACAAGAUCCAAGCAACUGUUUAUCAAAAACACAGGUCUCCGCUAAGUCGUAAGACGAUGUAUGGGGGCUGACGCCUGCCCAGUGCCAGAAGGUUAAAGAAGUUGGUUAGCAAUAGCGAAGCUGAUAACUGAAGCCCUGGUGAACGGCGGCCGUAACUAUAACGGUCCUAAGGUAGCGAAAUUCCUUGUCGGGUAAGUUCCGACCCGCACGAAAGGCGUAAUGAUUUGGAUACUGUCUCGGAGAGGGGCUCGGUGAAAUAGACUUGUCUGUGAAGAUGCGGACUACCUGCACCAGGACAGAAAGACCCUAUGAAGCUUUACUGUAACUUGAAAUUGAAAUUGGACUUUAUUCGCGCAGUAUAGGUGGGAGGCGUUGAUUGUAAUCUUGCGGGAUUAUUGGAGCCAUCAGUGAGAUACCACCCUUGUAAUGUUAGAUUUCUAACUUUGAAUCAUUAUCUGGUCAAAGAACAGUUUCAGGCGGGCAGUUUGACUGGGGCGGUCGCCUCCUAAACGGUAACGGAGGCGUACAAAGGUUUCCUCUGAACGGUUAGAAAUCGUAUCUAGAGUGUAAAGGCAUAAGGAAGCUUGACUGUGAGACCUACAAGUCGAGCAGGGACGAAAGUCGGUCUUAGUGAUCUGACGGUACUGAGUGGAAAGGCCGUCACUCAACGGAUAAAAGUUACUCUAGGAUAACAGGCUGAUCUCCCCCAAGAGUUCACAUCGACGGGGAGGUUUGGCACCUCGAUGUCGGCUCAUCGCAUCCUGGGGCGGUAGUACGUCCCAAGGGUUGGGCUGUUCGCCCAUGAAAGCGGUACGCGAGCUGGGUUCAGAACGUCGUGAGACAGUUCGGUCCAUAUCCGGUGUAGGCGUUAGAAUAUUGAGAGGAGCCUUCUUUAGUACGAGAGGACCGAGAAGGACAUACCUCUGGUGUACCAGUUAUCGUGCCAACGGUAAACGCUGGGUAGCUAUGUAUGGAGUGGAUAACCGCUGAAAGCAUCUAAGUGGGAAGCCCACCUCAAGAUAAG